AGCUGAACAAGAUGAACUCCAUUUUACCAGAAGCAUUGACACAAAUGGAAAGAAGAAUUACUGGAGGUUAUUUUUCACUGUUCCCUUAGUAAGGUUUCGGCAAAGAUCCUCAAAGCCCUGUUAUCCUGCAUGAUUCCACAUAUGAAUUCCCAACUCUGAUCUCAGCACCUAUUGCAGACGGAUAACCCUUCGCGCACACGCUGCAGGCAUUACCUAGGCGCCAUGCAGACGUCUCAGUGACCACCGGCACUUAAAAGCACUGGCCUGCUCAUCCUAACACACUUCACCCGUGCACUGUGUCAGCUCCCGAGUGUCCGUUGCCAGGUGAGCUCUUCCUGGCAAGUGUCCGCUGAAGAGGAUAUAGAUUCUCACUGAAGCUUUAGGGUUCUGCUCAAGUGAUGUAGUACAUCGUUCUGCAUAG
rnacentral:lncRNA from 1 species